rnacentral:lncRNA from 1 species
CCCUUUUUUUGGCAAUAUGUCCAAAACCUGACAUUUCUUUAUGCAUAAUAUACAAGUAGUGUAAGGGAGGUAAAUCCGAACAUAUCCAACAUUGUAUGUUAAAUGUUUUAGAAUUAUCUCCCUUACUGUACACUGCUUUUAAAUUAAAUUGUCUUAAUUGUCCCAGAAAUACCUAGUUUUCCCCCUUUUUUGCCCCUAAUUCCAAAACAUUUUGAGCCAUAACCCCCCAAAGUCAAUAUUAACCAUCCCUUCAUGGUAUGGAAACUUGUGGUUUAAUUUCAGAGAGAUUCAUACACUUAAACAAAAGUUAUUGUUUGAAAACUACAAAAACGAUUAUUUUGGGCCCCCUUUUUGGCCCCUAAUUCCUAAACUAUUGGGACCAUAACCCCCAAAAUCAAUCCCAACCUUCCUUUAGUGGUAUUGAACCUUCUUGUUAAAGUUUAUAGAGAUGCAUACACUUAAACGCAAGUUAUUGUCUGUAAACUAGAAAAAUGCUUCUUUUUGGCCCCUUAUUCCUACAUAUUUGGGGAAAUUAACCCCAAACUGAAUCAAAGCCUUCCCUGUGUUAUAUGGAAACUUGUGGUACAAUGUCAGAGAGAUCCAUACAGUUACACACAAGUCAUUGUCUUAAAACUAGAAAAAUGCUUGUUUUUGGCCCGUAAUUCCUAGACAGUUUUCCCAAAAACCCCUUAAAAUAAAUCCCAACCUUCUACUUAUGGAAUUAAACAUUGUGGUACAAUUUCAGAACAAUUGAAAUACUAUUACACAACUUUUUGUCCUGAAACUAGAUAAAUGCCGUUUUUUGGCCCCUUUGGGCCCCUAAUUCCUAAACCUUUUGGACCAUAACCCUUAAAAUCAAUCC